rnacentral:ncRNA from 1 species
UUUAUAAAUUUUAUUAUAAAUUUAUUUUACAUACAAAUUUUUGUAUAAAAUUUUAAUUAUUUUAAGAAUAAUUAAUUAAUUAAAUUUUGUAGUAAUUAAUUUUAAAUUAUUUAAGAAAUUAAGAUUUAGUAAUAUUUAAAUUAAUAACAAAUUUUGUGCCAGCAGUUGCGGUUAAACAAAGGUUAAAUUAAAAUUUUUCAGUAUUAUAAUAAAUAAAUAAAAAUUAAAAUAAAUAUUAAAUUAUUAGGUGAAAUUUUAAUUUAAUAAAAUUUUAUAUAUUAUUUAUGAUUUAAUAAAUUUAAUAAAAAACUAGGAUUAGAUACCCUAUUAUUAAAAUUUAAUAUUAAAUACUAAAAUAGUAGGUAAUAAUUUAUUGAAACUUAAAUAAUUUGGCAGUAUUUUAGUUUAUUUAGAGGAAUCUGUUUAAUAAUUGAUAAUCCACGAAUAAAUUUACUUAAUUUAUAAUUUUAUAUAUCGUUGUUAAAAAAAUAUUUUUAAAUAAUAAUAAUAUUUUAAAAUUUAAAUAAAAAAUUAACUCAGAUCAAGAUGUAGAUGAUAAUUAAGAAUAUAAUGGAUUACAUUAAAUUUAUUUAAAUGGAUAUUUGUUUGUAAUAUAUAAUUAAAGGUGGAUUUAAAUGUAAUUUUAUUUAAUUUAAUAAAAUGAUUUUAAAUUAAAAUAUGUACAUAUUGCCCGUCGCUUUCAUUUAAAAAUUGAAAUAAGUCGUAACAAAGUAGAAGUAUUGGAAAAUGUUUCUAGAAUGAU